rnacentral:lncRNA from 1 species
GAUAUGUGAACCUUUACGAAACUCAAAAAAAAGAAACAUGUCAGAACACCAAAUCAGGGUGCAAUCGAAGAUUACACCGGAGAAAUAUCACAACAAUAAAUAGGAUAGGAUGAAUAAUGCAUGGCUAUGAUAAAAAAAAAAAAAGAAUAGAAAAGUCAGCUACUGUCUCGUUCGCCUCUGCCUCGCCUAGCGAAGGCCAGGCGAAUACUCGCCCCAGGCUCGCCUAGCGAGGUGCUAGCGAGCGGCCACGGAUUUUGAAUUUGAAAACAGCCCCACGUUAGGAACUUUGAAUUUUAUGGCAUUUUAUCACAGGAAUAACAUGAUCAAACAUUCAGGGUAUUCAGCAUAUUUAAAUUCCCAUACGAAAGCAAAUUAUAUAUCAACAUUUAAUCAUGAUGCAUUAUAUAUGUAGAUAUGGCCAAUUGAAAGUAUACAAAAGAGAUACGCAAACCUGUUUGCCAAUUCAAGUUGAAGGGAUUGACCACUUGUAGUAUCGAAUAAGUUAGGCAGCGGGAAUUGGACGGCGAUGGCUUCAGUGCAGAUGGGCUGCCUUCAGGGUUUCUUUACUCUGAAUUCUCCGGUAGGCAGGGUUCCUAUGCCAAAACUUCUAUUCGUUCUUCUCUGUUCUCUCUCUUUCUUUUUCCUCAAGGUUUUGUUCCAAGGAAACCUCAGAGUGUUUUGCUUCUCUUCCUUCUUUCUCCAGUGAAUCUCCCAGUGUAAACUCCAAGUCUCACUCCCCUACUGAAACUUCAGUAUUUAUAGACUAAUUUCGUGGGUAAUGGGCUUGGACUGAGGGAGACCCAAGUCCAAAAUAAUUUGUUAUAUUUUAUUUAUUUAUUUAUUUUAAUUAUUUAAUUAAUUAA